CACGUAGGGCGCGAGCGUUGUCCGGAAUUAUUGGGCGUAAAGAGCUCGUAGGCGGCCUGUUGCGUCCGCUGUGAAAGCCCGGGGCUUAACCCCGGGUCGGCAGUGGAUACGGGCAGGCUAGAGGUAGGUAGGGGAGAAUGGAAUUCCCGGUGUAGCGGUGAAAUGCGCAGAUAUCGGGAGGAACACCGGUGGCGAAGGCGGUUCUCUGGGCCGAUACUGACGCUGAGGAGCGAAAGCAUGGGUAGCGAACAGG
rnacentral:rRNA from 1 species